UGUUCCCCGGCCAAGCCUAUCAGAUGGCCGCGUCUUGGCAGGUGAUACUGCACGUGUGACAGCAGACUCUGCACGGCAACAAUGCCAUUUCAGCAGAUAAUGGUGUCUCCUGGCCUGAAGGAAGUUCACACCGUCUGUCUGGUGCCACCUGCAGAGAUGACGGAUGGGUGUGAAGAGCAAAACAUCUGGACUGAGGAUGUGCGGCCUCCUGGCUGCUGCUGCUGCUGCUGCUGCUGCCCAGCUGUGUGUGGCCUGCCUGGGCCAGCCUGGCCUCUGAUUACUGGCCAUCUGCAGCAGCAGGAGCCACCCUGAGGACAGACAGCUCUCUAACCCCUGCCUGAAGGCCAGCUCAUCUCUGUGGCUGAGCCCACCUGCUCAGCGGUGAGAUCGUUAUGGUGGGAACGGCCGGUGCCAGAUUACUGUGACCUGCAGCCCCCCUCCAGAUGGACACUCUCCCAGCUGGCUAACUCCUUUUAAGGAGAUUCAUUAUUACCAUGCCGCUCUUUGGUUAGGUUAUACACACACAGGGAUGUACACACAACACGCACACGCACACGCACACGCACACACACGCACACGCACACAACACGCACAUGCACACACAUUCCUUUGUGCCUAUCUCCUUUGCCAUCUCAGAGGAGGCAGUAGGGAGGAGAGGGGGCAGUGCGUGAGGGGGAGCUGCAGCAGCAGUAGACAGCUGGAGGGGAGAGCAGGAGGUGAACAUUUCACUAGAGGAAUGUGUGUGUAGCUGUACCUUCAACAGCAGGAGUGUUAAUGAAGCGGCCCACACACAACCCACCCACUCAUUUACCCCUCACAUCGUCUCUGCCAGCCACCCACCCUGCCAACCGGCUCUGUCACUCUGACUCACUCCCUGCUAUGUGUCUCAGAGCUGGCUGUGCUACAGGCAGGCAGAUAGUGUAGCCCCUUGGAAUGUUAUUCAUAUAA